UACGAAGGGGGCUAGCGUUGCUCGGAAUCACUGGGCGUAAAGCGCACGUAGGCGGCUUCUUAAGUCAGGGGUGAAAUCCUGGAGCUCAACUCCAGAACUGCCUUUGGUACUGAGGAGCUUGAGUCCGGGAGAGGUGAGUGGAACUGCGAGUGUAGAGGUGAAAUUCGUAGAUAUUCGCAAGAACACCAGUGGCGAAGGCGGCUCACUGGCCCGGUACUGACGCUGAGGUGCGAAAGCGUGGGGAGCAAACAGG
rnacentral:rRNA from 1 species